AAGUCGUAACAAGGUUUCCGUAGGUGAACCUGCGGAAGGAUCAUUAAAAAAUUAAUGAAUGUCGGGGGGCGUUUGUCGCUCUCCGUGUAUUCAACCAACCCGCUCUUGUAUUUGGAUCAACCAAAAAUUAACAAAAAUACUUGUAUAUAAUAAAAAUAAACUUUCAACAACGGAUCUCUUGGCUCUC
rnacentral:misc_RNA from 1 species